UGACCAUCCCGAGCGGCCGAGAGAUCUGGCUCCGUGACGCCGCAGCAACCAUGGCCCUCUGCACAGGACCACCCUCUGCGCAGGACCACAGGUGCUACCGCCAGAACCGAUGGAGA
rnacentral:ncRNA from 1 species